GAAAUGUUUUUUAUUGAGUUGCCUAUACUAUCACUUGUGUAAUAGCAAUGCCCUGUAAAAGUUGAUUAGGAGAGUACAAACCCUCAAAAUCCUUUGGCCGUUUUGUUGGGCAAUCGUAUUCGCGUUAUGGAGAACCUGGCAAUGGAGGUUGAAGCUCCUCCUCCUCCGCAGAGUAACGAAGACAAUCAGAAUUUCGGAUGCGCACACUAUAAAAGACGGUGCAAAAUUCGUGCUCCGUGUUGCAACCAAGUGUUCUCAUGCCGUCUCUGCCACAACGAGGCCACCAGCUCGCUGAGCGACCCCAAAGAUCGUCAUGAAAUUGUCAGGCACGAUAUCAAGCAAGUUAUUUGUUUACUUUGCGACACUGAGCAAGAGGUUGCCCAGGUUUGCUCCAACUGUGGUGUAAAAAUGGGAGAGUAUUUUUGUGCUAUUUGCAAUUUCUACGACGAUGAUAUCAGUAAAGGGCAGUUCCAUUGUGAUGAUUGUGGAAUUUGUAGAGUUGGUGGACGAGACAAUUAUUUUCACUGUAAGAAGUGUGGAGCUUGCUAUGUGGUGAAUUUGCGUGAUAAUCACUUGUGUUUGGAGAACUCUAUGAAAAAUUACUGUCCUGUCUGUUAUGAGUAUCUUUUUGACUCGGUGGAAGUCUCAAUAGUUAUGAAAUGUGGACAUACAAUGCAUGAUACUUGCUUUCUCAAAAUGAUGCAACAGAAUCAGUACCGUUGUCCCAUCUGCUCCAAGACAUUGCGCGACAUCUCUUAUCAAUGGACAAUGUUAGAUGCGGAGAUUGAAGCUGUUGAAAUGCCCGAGGAGUAUAACUAUGAGGUUUCAAUCCUCUGUAAUGACUGCAACACCAGUAAGGUCCGGUUUCACAUUUUAGGCCACAAGUGCAGACAAUGUGAUUCAUACAAUACCCGGAGAGUUUCUUCUCCAGAACAAGAAUGAAUCGUCAAAACCUAUCAGAAACAAUAAUUAGCAGAGGUUAGAGAAGAUUCUACAUUGUUUUCAUUGGGACUUUCCAUUCGGCAAGUGAUGUGGUGAUCCCUCAUUCGCACCUAUCUCGCCGUAACAGCAUGGACAUAGCCAAUUUCCAGCAACUUCUAUGGAAAACAGCCCUUGUGACACAGCAAGACUGAAAUAUCUGCUUUUGCUAGAAAAGUAUUUGGAAAAUGAGACUGUUCUGUUCAUGAUCACUCUCUAAAUCAAGCCAAAAUCUUGAAUGGUCAUUUGUAUCUUAUAUGUAGAUUCAUUCAAAGAAAUAUCAAUUGACAAACACCAGGCAUCUACCAGACAUAUGCCCUUUGAGACAAUGGUUACAAUUCUUCUAGUUCUAUCCACCAUUCCCAAUUUCUAGGGUUU